GUUGAUGUAGCUUAAUUUGCCAAAGCAAGGUACUGAAAAUACCAAGAUGAGUCUCCUGACUCCAUAAACA
rnacentral:tRNA from 1 species